CCGCUGCCUCUUCGCUGGCAAAACAGAAAGCACCACGACGGCCACAGACAAUCAGCGCCCUCCCUUAUCCCACGAGCGCCACCCGCUUAUCCGAAAUUAAACCAAGCUGGCCCAAAAAUCCCAGCCAGGGGCAGAAUCGUCAGCCGAGCCACGCCCAACGGCCUCAACGGCUCAACCCCAAAAUCCCAGCACAAACAGCCCGCACCGCACGCUCCGCGACCCAAUGGCGCUCUCGCUCGCGCGCAGCCCCCACCCCGCCGCGGCGCUUCCUGCCCUUCGCGUUUCCCACUUUGCCCCUCUCCUCCCGCUCCACUCCGCCGGGCGCCCCCACCCCCGCCUCCGCCUCCGCCUCCUGGCCACCGCCGUCGCGGCCGCUUCCCCUCCGGAGGCGCAGGCCCAGCCGGCGGCGGCGGCGGCGGCGGACGGAGAGGAGCAGCAGGGGGAGAAGCGGCGGAAGCUGUACGUGUCCAACCUGCCUUGGUCCUUACCCGCGCCGGAGGUCGAGAAGCUCUUCGCGCAGUGCGGCUCUGUCAAGGACGUCGAGGUGAUCAAGGGGAAGGAUGGGAGGAACAGGGGGUUCGCCUUCGUGACGAUGAAGACGGCCGAGGAGGCGGCCGCCGCCGUGGAGAAGCUCAACUCCUCUGAUGUCAAGGGACGGACCAUCAAAGUGGAAUUCUCAAGGAGCUUCAGAAAACCUGCUCCACCUCCUCCUCCAGGCGCCAUUGUAGAGAGGCACAAGCUUUAUGUGUCCAAUCUUCCAUGGAAAUCAAGGGCUCCCAAUGUUAAAGAAUUCUUCUCAAAAUUUAACCCACUUUCUGCUAACGUUAUCUUCGAUAAUGGAAAAUCAGCUGGGUACGGUUUUGUUUCCUUCGGGACAAAAGGGGAAGCGGAGGCUGCUCUCAGUGAGCUUGAUGGAAAGGAACUUAUGGGAAGACCCGUUCUCUUGAAAUGGCGGGAAAAUGUUGAUGAUAUGGUUGAAGGUGUAAAGGCAGACGGUGAAGUUGAAGCUGUAAGUGUUGAAGGAGCAAAGGUUGAUGAUGCCAGUGAGGAUGGAGGUGAAGAUAAACAGGAAUAAUCAAACAAUACUGUACUGGACUUCAGAAAGGAAGUUGCAUCUGCCUACAACUAUACAAGUGCAGAUUGGAGCCUUGCUGUACAGCUACAAGUUUUCUCUACUACCUUGUGUAAUCGAGGUGAUAAUCAUAAUUAACGACUCAAUUAUCAGAGUCUGCUUGGGUCCUGCUAAGGAAAAGGGCAACAAAAGGCAUUAGCUCUGGCUUGAGGUGAAGCAUUAUCCCUGUAACUUUCUUUAAUACCAAGAUUCAGUUAUGUUUGUAUUGCGACAAUCUGUAUUUAUUUAUAUUACAUCAUGGUUAUAAAAAAUAUUCUCAUGCUGAGACA